GGGGCCACCUCAGGUGUGCGGGACGGGGCCACCUCAGGUGUGCGGGACGGGGCCGACACAGGUGCGAGGGGCUCCAGAGCGGCUGCGCGGGGUGCGACCGAGGGCACUUAAACCCCGGAACGGCGGCGGCCGCCAUUUUCUCCCAGUGCCGGGAGGAGCUGGCUGCAGCCGCUCCGGCCCCACUGCACAGCACUGGACUAAACACUACUCUCAUACCUGGUCCUCAAAUCAGAAGUGACAACACAAAGUUGUUUGAGUUCAAACACCACUCUGUUUGAAGAUCGAAGUACGGGGUUGCUGGCUGACCUUUUUUUGAUCCUGACUUCCACAGCCAAUAAAUCCAAAUUUAAAAUCUAGGUAGUUGCUGUGAAACCGUACAAACAGAGGAAAGAGAAUCCCAGCAGGAGUGCUUCAAGCCAGAAGAUAUUUUGUAGAGAGGAAAAGCAGCCUUGCCCAGUGGCAGAAAUCAUGCCUUGUCCCGUGCCAAAAAAAAUGGCUGUGCUGUGAAGAGACAACAAGAGGAUGAGGGGAUAGGGAGGGACAUCUGGGCAGGACAGAGAACUUCCAGCAGGUGACCUUCAUGCCCAGUCUUUACUGAACUUGUUUCUUCCUGUCUUAACAACCCAGUCUUGUCCACAUACACUCAGUUGCCAGUGCUUCUGCCCUCAGCAGCCUUGUUGCUGAGGAGACCAUUAAGGUGCCUGAAGAGCACGUGGCUAAAAUGCUCUUUUAUCCCUGCAGUUACUUCAGUUGCUGAUGUUGUCUCUAAGUAGACACUUCUUAGAAGCUUACCUCAAACCCAGGAACACAUCUAGCUGAAACUCAGAGUGAAGCUUUUAGCCUCAGCACACGUGAUGCUGUCCACAGCUCUUCAGGCUUUUGUCUUGCCUGGUGCUGGGUUUUAUCUUAACAGCUCCUGACAGAGGGGAAAGAUGGGGGUGCUGCAGCCAGCCAGAAGCAGUUGUCUUGCUUCUUUUGCAGCACUGCUUCCACAGUGCUAGGAGAGGCAAUAAAAAACCAAAUGGCUAUAGGAAGUUUUGCCACUGCUUUAACAGUAACACCAGGUAAGAAAGAGAAAAGCACAUCUGGUUUUCAGUGGGGGAAAAAAAUGUAUCAUGCAGGAAUUGUAUUCUAUGAAUAAACCACAGUCAGUUCUGCUUUCCUGCCUCAGGGCUUGAAGCUGUGGGCUGCCCUGAGCCAUAUCACGUGUUUGGCACUGGAUGGAGAAAAGUUUUAGAUUUCUUUCCAUCAGCCAGUCAUACCCAGAGCUUUAACUACCCUGUCAUGCUCAGCAGCUGUACCUAGAAUGAGAGUUAGGUGCUGGGCAGGAAAGAAGCUGUUCCAGAGAAGGAAGAAACAUGGCUUUCCACUGUGUUAAGAGCUGUUGACUGACUGAUACUGCCUGGUUUUCUUUGUGCUUCUAGCCUAGAGGCUUCAGCUUCUCCCAGCAGCUUUUCUCUGGCCUUGCUCCCUGUGCCAGGUUUCCCUGCACAACCCAUGAGGUUGGUGGCAGUUUUCUGUAUCUCCCAAAGGGGUCUGCUCAGUAAUGGAGAAUGAGAGGUUUCCCUCUGCUAUUUAUUUUGCCAUUAAAAUCAGUCCAAACUUCUCA